rnacentral:rRNA from 1 species
UACGGAGGGUGCAAGCGUUAUCCGGAUUCACUGGGUUUAAAGGGAGCGUAGGUGGGUUGGUAAGUCAGUGGUGAAAUCUCCGAGCUUAACUCGGAAACUGCCAUUGAUACUAUUUAUCUUGAAUAUCCUGGAGGUGAGCGGAAUAUGUCAUGUAGCGGUGAAAUGCUUAGAUAUGACAUAGAACACCAAAUUGCGAAGGCAGCUCACUACGGGGUCAUUGACACUGAGGCACGAAAAGCGUGGGGAUCAAACAGG